rnacentral:lncRNA from 1 species
CUACUAUGCUAUUAAUAGCACGAAGCACUUGGUGCUACCAAGUUUUCCGCCGUUAGAUCUACCAUUUUGAUCAUUUUCACCCGUUAGAUCAUACUAUUUAACCAACCACCCACUCAACCCUAGGGGACCCACAUCAUCCUAACCGCACAUCUCUUAAUCCAAUGGCUAAAAACUUGGUAGCACCAAUGACUUGGUGCUAUUAAUAGCAUAGUAGCCUAGUUCUAUAUAUAUAUAUAUAUAUAUAGUCCGGCUACUAUACUUUUUUGAGUAUUAGCUUUCUUAUACUCAUAAGUUUUCGGCCCUUAGAUUUAUUUCUUUAAUCAUUUUCACUCGUUAGAUCAUACUAUUCAACAAACUACCCACUCAACCCUAGGGGACCGUUCCUAGAGCAAGUGGCAAAAGAUUUGGUGGUUGGUACCCAAGGUCCUAAGUUCGAAUCCUAGUUUAUUCACAUUUCCAGCUAAGUUUAUUUCUAAUUGAAAUAAACGAAGCGGAUAGCGUGCUACAUAU